UACGUAGGCAGCGAGCGUUGUUCGGAGUUACUGGGCGUAAAGGGUGUGUAGGCGGUUUUCUAAGGUUGGUGUGAAAUCUCCCGGCUUAACCGGGAGGGUGCGCCGAAAACUGGGAGACUAGAGUGCGGGAUGGGAGAGUAGAAUUCCUGGUGUAGCGGUGAAAUGCGUAGAUAUCAGGAGGAAUACCGGUGGUGUAGACGGCUCUCUGGACCGCAACUGACGCUGAGACUCGAAAGCGUGGGUAGCAAACAGG
rnacentral:rRNA from 1 species